AUUGAACGCUGGCGGCAUGCCUUACACAUGCAAGUCGAACGGUAACAGCACUUCGGUGGCUGACGAGUGGCGAACGGGUGAGUAAUACAUCGGAACGUGCCCGAGAGUGGGGGAUAACGCAGCGAAAGCUGUGCUAAUACCGCAUACGAUCUACGGAUGAAAGCAGGGGAUUCGCAAGGACCUUGCGCUCAUGGAGCGGCCGAUGGCAGAUUAGGUAGUUGGUGGGAUAAAAGCUUACCAAGCCGACGAUCUGUAGCUGGUCUGAGAGGACGACCAGCCACACUGGGACUGAGACACGGCCCAGACUCCUACGGGAGGCAGCAGUGGGGAAUUUUGGACAAUGGGCGAAAGCCUGAUCCAGCCAUGCCGCGUGCAGGAUGAAGUAUUUCGGUAUGUAAACUUCGAAAGAAUAGGAAGAAUUAAUGACCGGUACUAUUUAUAAGGUCCGGCUAACUACGUGCCAGCAGCCG
rnacentral:rRNA from 1 species